GCCGGGGAGGGACUGGGGUGGGGGUGGUUAAUGAGCUCAGUUUCAGUACUCCUCUGGGAGCUGAUCAAGUACUAAAGGGAAGCUAACAGGAAGAGGCCAGAUCCACGUCCUCCUCAGUGCCACCUGAACAGGGUGCUUGGGUGCUCAGCUGAUAAAGGUUUUCAAAGAUGAAGCUUCUCUGAGGCUACAAUAAUGGAACCAUUUCUGGAUGCUACACAAGUGCUGGAACCUCAGGAGCACGACUUUAACUGCUGGGCAGCCAAGGAUGACUUUCUCCUUACAGAGAGCAGGCUGUGAAGGGCUCUCGAGGUUCCCCGGAUGAAGGUAAUUAAUAAACACAAAGGCAGGGAAUGAUAACAUAACAAAUAUUAGCUAAGCCAAACAAAUCUGAAACGAAGCAGGAAUUCACCUGAGAAAUAAGAGACCAGUUCCCCUCUAUUGCUCAACAGUUUUAAAUCAGGAGAUACCCAGUACUGUAACAAAGGAGGAAUGGGGUUUUAAGUUAACACUCUUGAGUAUUUCAAGACCUGCCUAGAAGAACAAGUUCAAAGAUCUCAUCUACCUCCCCACAGCAGGAACCAGAGGACUGAGUGCCUGAGGCUGCAGUGAGAUUUCUGGGACUCCAGGACACCCUGGCAGGUUCUGGCUAGGAUUCACAGGGUCUCCAGACCCCUUUUGAAAAAUCAGGGUGUAACUGGGAAACUUAUGUUAAACCAAAGAUUGCUAAAAUUUUGACUCUUUUAAAAACAUGGAGUUUAAAUUGGUCUCAAUUCACAAUUUAAAAGGGCAAUGACUGGGGCAUGGAGAGGGAGAGACACGCAACGGCUCACAGAUCUCCCUGACCAAGGCUUCUACUCCGGGUUUAAAUGUCUGAGACCAUGGCUGUGGGCUUAAGGCCUGGGCAGUGCCCAACUCCUCAGUCUCCACAGAGAGUGGCACAUGGAAAUGUUUGUGGAAUUCAUGAAUAUACACUCAGCUGGAGCUACGAAAACCAAAUUAGUGUCCACAGUUUCUAAUGAGGUCAUAACUUACAUGAAGCCGUAGACUGCGGGAAUGAAAUCCCAGGAGCUGAGAAGGAAGAAGGAGAGGCAAACGAUUACCACUAGGCUUCCCACAUACAUCAUGGCAUACUCCCACAGGAAGAUCCAGAAGGCCUUGCUCUUCACUUUCACAGCUCUCUGCUAAUGUACCUGGAAAAGCAGCAGAAGAUGGCCCAAGUACUUGGGCCCCUGUCACCCACAUGGAAGACCCAGAUGGAGUUCCUGGCUCCUGGCCUCAGCCUGGACCAGCUCUGGCCACUGCUGCCAUGUGGGGAGUGAAUCAGCAGAUGGAAGAUGGAAAUAUGGAUAUCUCUCUCUGUCUCUCUCUCCCCACCUCUCCCCUUCAAAUAAAUAAAUAAAUAAAA